rnacentral:lncRNA from 1 species
AUUCACUGUGCCAUCCAAUGCAAGUCACAAAACCUCUCUGAGCCUCAGUUAUUUUACUUAUAGAAUUGUAGUAAAAACAACUAUAAUUACAAAGCUGUCUUCCGAUGGGUUCUAAGUACAUUGAGAGCAAAACAAACAUCUGGUCAUCUUUCUAUUCUUUCCCCAAAAUAGCACCUAUCUCUGCCUGUUCCAUAGAUUGUUUUAUGAUAGAAAUUACUAUUUUUUUGUAGAAUUAUAUUCUCCCAAUUAUUCCCUUAAUCAUCUUAUCCUAAUAAUGUCUCUUAAAAGACAAUCAUGACAUCUUCAUUUCUUUGUAUAAUUGUUUAUUGCCUUUAUAGUUAAAUAGUCACAUAAGAAGGUCUCUGAAGGGACAAAAUAUAUAUUUUAUAUAUGAUAAAUUUUAGAGGCCUUUAUUUACUGGAUAAAAACUUUGGAAAGCCAUAACAGUGCCCUAUUCUAGACAUUUAAUCAUAUGGAAAUGAAACAAUAGUUCUCAUAAAAUAUUACAGUGAUGAACAAUAAACAUAAACCUAGAUUCUAAUCUAUAUAGUUAAAAUGUGCAGCCAAUAGAAGAUGAGCCAUUAGGUAGAUGAAAGUUCAGUUUUUAGAGUUCUAGUUCCAUGGCAGUCACUGUGCUAGGUGCAGAGAAUACAGAACUCAAUGAAUAAAAUUCUUUGUUAAAAAAAUUCACAGAUUAGUGGAAACAUUGUCUCAUAGUUUAGUAAUUUCAGUGGAAUGUUUAGGCACAAUGACAAAGCUAAGCACAAGUUAUAAUGAGAGAGUAUCAAGAAGGAAUACUGAGGCUAGGGUUGUGGCUCAUUGGUAGAGUGCUUGCCUCACAUGUGUAAGGCACUGGGUUUGAUUCUCAGCACCACAUAUAAAUAAAUGAAUAAAAUGAAGGUCCAUCAACAACUAAAAUAUAUAUUUAAAAGAGAAGGAACACCUAGUGCAGCCAGCUAUUUGAACCAGAAGUCCCACCUUCUUGAGAAGAGAACUACUGAACUUUCUUGACAUUUAUAAAUACGUGUAGCAAUCCACAUUCUAACCUUUAAUGUAAUUCUUUAUGAGUCAAUAAUUAAGUAUGAUCCUCCUCAGCAACACCUUCCAGGGUCUCCAAUUUAUUUAUUUAUUUUUUUAAAAAAUGUUUUUAGUUGUAGAAGGACAUGAUACUUUUAUUUAUUUAUUUAUUUAUUUUUAAUGUGGUGCUGGGAUCGAACACAGUGCCUCACACAUGCUAGGCAAGCACUCUACCACUGAGUCACAACCCCAGCCCCAUUUAUUUAUUUGAAGAAGAAAAAAAGAUGUGAAAAAAAUAGCAAGGACACCAAAAAUACUAGGCAGAAGCAAGGUUCUUGGAUAAGGAGAAUAAGACUCAGUAUGGUGCAGACUUCUGGAGCUGCCUGCUUAAACCAUAUCAAUGAUGUGCCUUUGGUUGAGCAUUGAUUCAGGGCUUUAUUUUUGUUUUUGAUUAAUAGCAACUAUAAAUUUUAUGAAAUUGCCAUAUGACUUCUCUCAAGCUUUUUUCUUUUUAGUAUAUGUUUAUAUUUGACCAACCAAUAUACUCACGUUUCACAAAUCAAAAAAAGAAAAUAGGUACAGAGUGAAAAGUGCCUCUCUAUCCCUACCCCUCCUGUUUGUUUCUCAUUGACCCUCAUAGGUAGAGAUAACUGUUAAGAUAGUUUUCUCUGUGUAUCCUUCCAAUGUUUCUUCAAGAAAAUAUAAACAAGUCUUUAUCUAUUUUUUUCUCUUCCCCCUUCUUACAUAAGAGGUGGCAUAUUGUAUCCCCUGAUUUGCAUCUUGCUUUUCCCUCUAGCGAUGUAUCUUAGAGUUUUUUCCUGUCAGUACUAGCAGAGCUUCCUCAUUCUUUCAAACAGCUGCAUAGAUUGCACUGCAGGAUAUGCCAUAGUUUAUUUAACCAUUCCUCCAUUGAUGAACACUUGGGUUGUUUCCACUCUUUGCUGUUUAUUAUGAACAAUGCUGUGAUGAAUAAUAAGGCAUGUAUGUAAGCAAGAAUAUCUUUAGAAUAAAUUCCCAGAAGUCUCCCAAA